rnacentral:tRNA from 1 species
AGCGGAGUAGUUCAAUUGGUAAGAACGAUGGAUUCAUAAUCCAUAGGUUAGGAGUUCGAUUCUCCUCUCCGCCU